rnacentral:tRNA from 1 species
CCUCGUUGACAUCGAGGGGGUCACAGGUUCGAUCCCUGUCGCGCCCACCA